AAUUUUAAUCCGACGAACGAUGAUGCCGCGGCCUUAUCCUCCAUCAGUCUCUUCUGCCCGUUUUAUCAUUAUGGCUCCGACACUCCUUCCGCCUACUCCUUUCGCCGCCCAUCUCUCUACUCGAACCCUUCAGCCGCACGCUGCUACCUCCUCCCUUCACCGUCAUCGGUGCUCUAGUCUCUUCCACCUCCAUUCCUCCUCGGACGCAUCCACUCCAUCAGCAGCCUCCACUGCCCUCCAAUGCCCAUAUUUCCAGUCGUAUGUACCCAGUAGCUUGGCAUGUGGUCGGAGUUCUAGAUGCAGUCUUCUUAUUCGAACAACUGAUUGGUACAAACACACUCGUGGAGCCUCUAUGGACCAUAGUGUUCUCUGUUCAGCUUCAAAAAAACGUGGUUUUGGGCAGUAUGUUACGAAGAAAGAAAAGAAUCCCAAGGAAAGCAAUCAAUCUACAUCUGAGGCAAGAAACUUUGUGUCUCAAGAGCCCAACACAAGAAAUCAGCAGGCACCACAAUUAGCUAGUGGAAGUAGUCGAAAUUUGAACAAUGCAUCGUUUGAUCAAAUUUUUUUGGAGAAGGUGGAAGUAGUGAGAAGGUCUGCAAUGGAGCAGAAAAAAGCUGAGGAGGACAAAAUCUCUCAGGCAAUAGACUAUGAUGGACCUGUUGUGUCGGAAGAGAAUACAAUUGGAUUUGGUACCAAGGUUGGUGUUGGAGUAGCUGUCACUGUUUUCGGUCUGGUUUUUGCAUUUGGGGACUUCCUUCCAUAUGGAAGUGUUAGCCUGAAUGAAGAUGCUGCUACAGUUCAGAAAAAACUUGCAGAAGAGGAGAAGUCAAUUCUUAAGACCAAGCUUGAGGAAUACAAGGAAACACUAAGCAAUUCACCUGAAGAUCUUUCAGCACUCAAAGGAGCUAUAUUUACUAUGAAAGAUUUAGGAGAGUACCAACAAGCAUCUUCUCUUCUUGAGAAAAUGACCAAGGAAAGGCCCAACAAUGCUGAUGCAUUUCGUUUACUGGGAGAUAUUAAGUUUGAGCUUAAGGAUUAUGAUGGAAGUGUUUCUGCUUACCAGAAUUCUUUAUCAGCCUCUGGUAUUGUUGACUUUGAAGUACUUCGUGGGCUCACAAACUCAUUUCUGGCUGCUGGAAAGUCUGAUCAAGCAGUUCAAACCCUUUUGAGCUAUCAAGACAUAUUGAGUGAGAGCGAUUUGGUAGGUCUUGGCACAGAUGUGGAUAACAAGGUUAAAAUGGACAAACAAAGAUUCAAUGUUGAUCCAAUUGAAGUUGACUUGCUUUUGGGAAAAUCUUACUCUGAUUGGGGCCAUGUGAGCGAUGCUGUGGCUGUUUAUGAUCAGCUAAUUUCCAAGCAUCCUGAUGACUUCCGUGGCUAUUUGGCAAAGGAUUUAGAAGAAAAAUAAAAUUCCACUUCAUGUGGACAGUUAUUAGGGUUUCUUAUCGUAGGUGAAGGAACAGAUGACGUUGGAGGCUUGGACCCUUGACUAGACUGGGUUGGACAGUACACUCCCAAGGACCUUCCGAUUCCGCAUAAAGAAUAAAUAAAAAACAUUUAUGAUUUAGAGAGAAUAAAGUAGUAGUCAAUUUAGAUCCGCAGGAUGCUUGACUGGUUUAUUAAUUACAAACAGUUUUCUUAUUUAUUAGAAUGUUAUAUGGUGCAUGGAAUGUAAAAAAAAACAAAAAACAAAAAAAAAAAAACUUAGGAUCGUUUUACCUCCCAAGUACGGUCAUGCCAAUUUUGGAGAAGGACAGUGAAGGCAACCAUGGCAUUGUCGUAUCUUUUGACAUGGUCAUGCCAACUUUAGAGGACUCCACAGAAGAUUUCAUGAAAGACACACUAGACUUCACAAAAAGAAUCACGUCAUAGCCGUGUCUUUUCACAUAGCCGUGUCUUUUUAUGGAGGACUUCACAAAAGGUUUCAUGGAGUGGCCGUGUAUUUUGACACGACCAUGUCUUUUCACAGAGUCCAUAGAAAGAAUCAUGGCAUGGCCAUGUCUUUUCACACGACCAUGUGGUGUGAAACAAGUUCCGGCCAUGUCUCGCGGCACAACUGUGUUCGUCGGGCAAAAUCAAGCCCAAUGCAAUGCUAAAACUCCAACUGCUUCCAACACAGCUUGGCCAUGCUAAAAGGCACGACCGUGUCAUUUCUGAUAUGGCCCGGUCGUGCCUCCCAGGCACAGUUGUGUUGAAUCCCAAACUAUAUUGUGGACCAUUUUUAAAAGUGGCGUAACUUUCUACACGGUUGGAGCCACGGGUUGUGCCAUAUAUCAAAAUAUAGAUAACUUCUGGAUCUACAACUUUGCUUUAGAGUGCAACUUGAGAAAACCAGUCGUGCUAAAAGGCACAACCGUGCCUCUUAGGCAUGGCCAUAUCGUGUUGUCUGUCUAGACUGCAGACCCAAAAUAAAAAGGUCGUAACUUUCCGCACGGUCUAUAUAUCAAAAUAUAGGUAACUUCAAGAUCUACAACUUUGCUUUAGAGUGCAACCCGAGAAAAUCGGGUCUAGCCGUGUCGCGUCAUUCAUCCAAAUUACAGACUAAACUUUGAACCACCAUAACUUUCGGCUCAGUUAGAGCCACGAGCUCUGCCACCUAUCAAAAUGUAGAUAAUUUCAAGAGGUGCAACUUUUGUUCAGAGUUCAACCUGAGAAAACUAGGUAUAAGGGGUGAAAAUUCCAUUUUGUUAGAGCCCUAUAAAGGAGGCAGAUUUGGAAAGUUUAUGGAAGGUUUAAAAGGGUCAAGAAAGCCCUUCUUUGGGUUAUCUUGGACCUGGGGACUCCGUCCCCCUCUUUGGGAGAGCUCUUCCCCUCUAGGGAAAACCCUAGAGCAACUAUCUUAAUCCAUCUUGACAAUUCGUCCAUCUCCGGAGCAAGGAUUUCAUCCAAGAAGACCGACAACGCAUUGAUAAGCAUUUCUCCUCUCUCUAUCUUGUGUUUUGGAUUGUAGAAUGAUAUUCUUCUUAUCUCUUGGUUGUAUUUCCUUUGCCAUGGAGUAGAUCCUCCGAAUUUUAGGAUGUAGGGAGUAAUUAUGAUGUGAUGUUGACGUGUGAACUAUAUAUUUGAUUAUUUCCUUGUUCUAUGAUAUGCUUAUGACUUGUUCUAUUGUGAGCCUUGUUUGUAUUUGAUGAAAUGUGUAUGUGAUGAAUGCAAAUGGAUGUGAGACCUUAGUGAAGGAGGGUAUCAUUUUAACCGAACUUUCUAGAGUUUCACCUUGAAAUAGGGACCAAUUCUCUAUAAAGGAUUAACUAAUUAGAGUUUAAUGGAUUUUCACCAAUUCAAUGUUAAGAAGUGACAUGUAUAAUCUAGACUGUAUGACCAUGGGACCUCAUAUGAUAGGGGGUAUUCUUUGAACCGGACUUUCUAUGUUAUAUCUUCUACUUUGUGGAAUUGAAGCUCAAUGGUGUAAACACUCCGGUGUAAUCUUCGUGGGGUUAUGCCGGUAUUUAGUCAGAAUCCCUACAAGAGUGUAAGCAUAGUGUUAAGGAGAUGAAUAAUACAUAGGGACAUUAACUAGCAUCAAAGUGAAACCAAAAUCCUAGAAUCAUCCUCCAAAUCCAACUUCACCCUUCGAUUACUUGCCUUCCCUUCUCUGCUCUAAGCCCUUUCUCGACCUCUCUCUUGCUCUCUCUCUCUUUCUCGCGCUCUCUGUCUCUUUCUCUCUCUCUUAAUCUCUAGUUCUUAAGCUUUCACACAACUUUCGAUUGUCUAGAUAACUUGCUUUGCAAACUCGACUAGUGCUUAAUCAACAGUCUUGUGGAUCGAUAUUUUUAUUACGUGACGACUUAACUGUGCACUUGUGGUGAGACAAUAGGGAAUCAAUUCUAUUAAAGUGCAUAUAAUUCUUAGGGUAUUUUCCUAUGCACUCCCCUUUACUCCUCAAGUUGAUAUAUUUGCAAUCUAUUUACAAUUUAGUGCUCAAUUCUUCCCUCAAGCUGAUUUAUAAAUAUUAUAAAAAAUUAAUUUGUUUCAAAUAUACUAAAGUUUAAAACCUCUCAAAGAAAGUGAGCAAAUCUACUAGUUGAUCUAUGUAACUAAAGAGGUGAGAAUCUUCUUUAUGACGAAAUGUCAAUCAAUCUCAAUAUGUUUUCUCCUCGUAUGAAAGAGAAAAUUAAACUGAUGUGCAUAACAACUUGAUUAUCAUGUUAUGCCUUAAUUGACUAGCUCAGAAAAUUAGCUACCUAGUGACUAAAUAGUUGAGCCAUACCUUGUUUGAGCCAGAUGAUCCUAGACUCAUAAUGUUUUGCCUUUGCACUUGACCUAGCUGCAAUAGUUGGCUUCUUGCUCUUCUAAUGCAUUAGCCUAUCUCUUGGAAAAGCACAAUAGCUUGAUGCAGACCUCCUGCUUUUCCCAAUCUUCAUCUAUACUCCCCAUAAACAUCAAAAUUAGCCUAAAACAAAAUAAUUCAGCCUUAAAUAAAUUUGAUUUAACUUUAAAUUCAUCCAUCAAGCCUAAAGAACCAUAAAACAAAUAAUUGUUGCCAAUUACCCCUUAAUUUUGGGUAUAAUAUAUAAUCGACUAUGGAUUUACUAUAAGGAUGAGGUUUUUGGAACUAUGGUUUGAUUAGGAGGUGAAUGGAUAAUCUUUUCUUGUCAUUCUUGCUAAUCCAACACCUUUAAAUGAAACAAUGGGGUAAACUCUACGAGUGAGUACUAUACGACUUUAGAAUUCACAGCUACAAGCUUGGAGCACUUAGUGAAGCCCUUAACAUUACCCUUUUUAAUCUAGAAUCUUCCCUAAAUCAAGAAAACCCUUGGGAUAUAUGUUGUCUACCCAAACAAUCCAUUGAGACCUUGCUCACUUUCUGCAACUUACCUCUAUUGUCCUAGGCAAGCUUUGGUCGUCGCUAGAGACCUUCUAGUGAAUGAUUACAAUCCUAAAUAAUCCAAAAGCUUCUAGAUAUCCUCUAAUAGUAAACAAACUCUAAAUACCUUCAAACUUAUCCCAAAAAAGAUAAAGAUCUAAACUUGGUGAGUUAAAGAGUGUUACUGAAAAGAGCUUUAAAUCCACAUAUAAAGCCUUGCUUUUGCUUCCAAAGCCUCUUGGUAUUCCAUUGUGCACUUAGAGUAUGAUGAAGAUUAGAAAUGUUUUUUUGUAAGUAUUGGUGCAAAAAUAUUGACCAAACAACCUUUAUAAAGCUACAACAGUCACUUCUAGGUGAUUUGGUCUACCAAAAACUAAGGUUGGUCAAGCAACCUUCGAUUUCUCACCAUUAUAAACUUGGAACAUGAAGCUGAAAUUUGGUUCAGUCAGCUUGACCAUUUGUUAAUAGUCGAUUGGUGCUGUUUGGCCAACUAAACUCUAAUGUUUAGUCAACCCAGGUCGUGUUCAAGGGUGAAUUAAGGUUUACAUUGGAUUAACCCUUCAAAUGUUAAGGCCAGACCUCAAAACAACACCCUCCCAUCAAAUACCCCUAGAGUUUUGGAUGAAAUUUCGUAGAUAAUAAAGUCCUACUUAAAGGCUAAAUCAUAUCAAUAUAAUCAAUCCACCCCAAUAUACAACAUCGAUCAAUAUACAUAGGUCUUAAUCUCCAAAUCACAUGAUAUCCUUCACACUUUAAGUGUAACUCAUCAAAUACACACCUAACUUAAAUCAAAUUACCAAACCAUCAAAAGACCUUAUUCCAACCUAACCACAUUGGAGGAACCAUUGUCCCAAAAUGAGAACUUAGCUCUCGAGUGUCAUUAAAAUGUCUGACUAUCAUAUCAACUACAACCUAUACCAUCUUGUUCAAGCACAACCUCUUAAACAACCUAGGAAAUGGAAUGCAAAGCUAAUGACAAUACAAUGGCAAACUAGCUAUGCCAAGAAUGUGAAGUAAUAAUGCAUUUGCAAAUUUCUGUUGAAAAGUGACAAGGAAAUUUAAAUUAAAAGCUGGAUUUGGGACUAGUGAUGGUUGUGACAGAAUAGUAAAAUUUUGAGUAUGAUAUAGGCUCAACCCUAGACUUACACCUAGACUUGCAGUUAUAUAUCUCCAGCCUGGUUAGCAAGAUCGGCCAAUUCAUAUCUGAGUCAACCACUUUGGAUUAAAAUUGAGAGAUUGGAUACCUAUAAAUAUCACUUCGAAGUAUGUCAAAAAUGUAAUCACAUGAAAUCCUUUCAAAAUCAAUUUAAAAUCAGACACCAUUUUAAGAAACUUGGAUGAAUUUGUUGAUUGAUCUCAAAGCCAACAAUUUUGGUGACUGCUUAGCCAUAAUAUAUGAUGUGGGUGGCAUGCAAGGACUUGAAACUGGACCUUGAGGCUUGGCAAUGGCUAGUAAAGGAGAGAGAUGCUCAUCCAUAAAUUACCACAAAGUUCCACGCUCUAUGAAGACUAGGGAGUAGCAAUGGAAAUGAAAAUGGUGGGAAAAACAUGGGACGAGGAUAGAGAAUGCCAAAAACCUUUUAUAUGAUAAAUAUAAUUUAUAAGUAAAAAAAAUAUUAACUUACAUAAAAUUUAUCAAGAGAAACCAUAAUGCUAUAAGUAAUAAAUCAGUAUAAAGUGAUAAGAAUAUGAAUGACAUAUUUUAUUGAAAUAGCUUAAUUAAUUUGGUAUUAUCUAGUAUAAAUAUGAUAUUGACAAUACUCUAGUGUUAUUUAUCACUAUGUUAAUUAUCUAAAAUUAUUUUAAUAAUAAAAAUAUUUAUUUAUUAAUCAUUAAAUAUUAUUUACUAAUAAUCAUGGAUUAAUUAUUUAACAAUAUAAUAUUUAAUUUAAUAAUAUAAUAAUAAUUUUUAUCAUAUAAUUUUGUACAUAAAGGGGAGUUUUGGCGCAACGAUAAAGUUAUUGUUUUGUGACCAAAAGGUCACGAGUUCGAAUAUGGAAAACAACCUCUUGCCAAAAACAGGUAAGGUUGCGUACAAUGAAUCUUUCCUCGGGAUCCCGCAUGGUGGGAGCUUCGUGCUCCGAGCUACCUUUUUUAUAUAUAUAAUUUUGUGUAUAUACUAAUUAUAUAGAAAAGACAUAAUUUAAAAUUGAAGCAUAUACUAAUUAUAUAGAAAAGACAUAAUUUAAAAUUGAAUUAAAUAAUCAUGUAAUAAUUAUUAGAAAUAUAAAUUUAUUUACAUUCUUUCGUCCUUCUAGAAUGAUGACUCUUAAGAGAUGGUGGCUGCAAACAAACUGUUAAUCAACCUCCUCGAGUCCAAAACUUGAAGUUUACACACAUUUUGAAGAAAUGUAGUGGCAUAAUUGAGGUCAUGGCUAAUUGGUCUAUUGACAAGAGAUUGUAGUCCAAGAUAAGAACAAACACUACUAAAUCUAAAUCAAAAGAACUAUGUUUUCAAAAAUAACCAUUGAUCUUAAGAGAAGAAAAGUUCCAUCAGCGAUUCAAACUAUAACAUCAUCAAGAAAUAGGGUGUACCAAAAAAACUCCGCCCAUGAUGAAUAAACUCUAUCAUGGCAAGCCCUAAUUCUAGAUAAAGGAAGAGGUUUAUAUUAGGUUGGCAGCCAACGUCAAACAUAGAAAAAUGUUAUAUAUAAAUACAUCAAACCAUUGUGCUAAUCUUAGGUUGUUCCUUAAAAGGAACGCGUUGCAGAGUCUAGCAGUAACAUCUAGGCAAGGACUAUUACAUAUCUAUGAGAACUUAGAUGUAGUGUUAAAUAUAUAAGAGUUUAUUACACUUUAGGUUGAAUAAGAAUAGAUAUUAUAGUAAUACUGAUUGUCUCAUAUUUGGAAUAUGAAAUGUAGAAACACUCAUUAACAAAAGAUGAUAGAGAACUUAAGUUAUGCUACACAAAGAGUAAAAUGAGAAAUGGAAUAGGUAUUGUUAUGGAUAGUUUAUUAAGAGACGUAAUAGUAGUAGUUAGGAAAAAGAUAGGAUUAUAACUCUCAAGAUAAUGGUGAUAAAAGAAACUAUUAAUGUAAUUAACAUAUAUGCAGCUCAAGUAGGAUUAGAUGAAUACUCGAAAUAUAGAUUUUGGGAAGACGUAGGUUAUGUACUAUAAAUUUUUUUGUCAAACGAGAUAAUUUUAAUAAGAGAUCUAAAUUGACAUUAGGAGGAAGAAAUGAAGAAUAUGAUAAAGUGCAUGGGGUUAUAGUUUUGAAACAAGAAUGAAGAAGGAAAAAUUAUAUUAGAUUUUGCAGUAACAUAUGAACUUAUAAUAGUUAACACGCUUUUCAAGAACAUUGUCUGAUUAGUGGAGGGUAAGUACUCUAGUUCCUCUGUAUAACAAAAGGAGACAUUCAAAAUUCUGUGAAUUAGAGGGGCAUUAAGCUAAUGAACCAUACUAUGAAAUUUUAGGAAGAGUGAUCGAAAAAAGAUUAGGAGACCAAUGUGAUUGAAAAUUAAUUUCAAUUCAUGCUUGGAAGGUCGAUGAUAAAAGUUAUACAUCUUAGAUAACUGAUUGAAAAGUAUUGGAAAAAAAAGACUUACACAUGGUAUGACCUAGAAAAGCGUAUAAUAGAAUCUCGAGGGAAAUUAUGUAGAGAAUUCUAGAGAAGAAAGGUGUCCCUAUAGCAUAUAUUGAAACAAUUAAGGAUUUGUAUGUGGCUAUAUUGACAAGAGUGAAGACUACAGGUGGAUUAGCUGAAGCAUUUUCUAAAAAUAUAGGGUUGUAUCCUAGAACUGUAAGUCCAUAUCUUUUUACACUAGUCAUGGAUGAACUCGCUGGACACAUCUAAGAAACAUUACAUUGGUAUUUGUAGACGACAUCAAAUCUUAGUGAGAAAUGGUAGAUGUAAAAGGUUUUUGUCUUAGUAGAAUAAAGACAGAAUAUAUAGAAUUUAAGUGUAGUAGUAUUGGAUGUAGCAAGAUAAUUGUUAAGACAAAAGAUGAUGAGUUAUAUAUAACUAAGAGCUUUAAGUAUCUAAGAUUGUUUCUACAAAAGGAUGGAUGAUUGAUAGAGAUGCUUUACAUAGCAUACAAGUAGGAUGGUUGAAGUGAAAAAGGGUGUCAGAUAUUCUUUGUGAUCAUAAGAUAUCUUUAAAGAUUAAAGGGAAAUUUUACAAAAUUGUGGUUAAAGUUUUAUAAAAUUAUGGUUAGACCUAUUAUAUUAUAUGAAGUGAAAUGUUGGGUUAUGAAGCGAACACAUGAGUAGAAAAUAAGAGUCACAAAGAUGAGAAUGUUAAAAUAGAUGUGCAUACAUAUGAGGAUGGAUAAAUAAGAAAUAAAAAUAUUAGAAAAAAAGUUAGGCAUGCGCUUACUAAGGAAAAAUUUCGAGAGACAUUUAAGAUAAUAUGAAUAUGUACUUAGGUAAUCAAUAAAUGUCUCAGUUAGGCAAUGAGAAACUAUAACAAAUAUGCACAUUAAGUGAAGAAGAGGGAAACCAAAGAAGACAUGAUUAACAACGAUAAAAUAAGAUAAAAUUCAUUUAAAUAUAGAUGAGAAUAUAGCUGAGGAUCGAGCCCAAUGUAUCCAUAUAACUGACUCUACUAAGUGAGAUAAAGGCUUAAUAGUUAUUGCUUUUGUUGGGGGUGUAUCAAGCAAUUUAAUAUCUUUUGAUGCCCCACAAUGCAUAACUUAAAACUUUUGGUUUUUCACAAAUUAUAGCAUUGUCAAAAAUAGGGUGUAUCAAGCAAUUUGAUAUCUUCAGAUGCCCCCGGAGUUCAUAACUCAAUUUUUUAUUUUUCACAAACUAAAGCAUGAUUUAAAAAUGGUUGCAUCAAGCAAUUUGAUAUCUUUGGAUGCCUUACGCAUUGUUUGGGAAGAGGUGAGGGAAGUGGAGGGAAGGGUAAAGAAGGGGAAGUAAAACUUGAAACCCUGUUUGAGAGGAAGUGAACUACGGAAAGGAAAGGUAAGGAAGGGUAAGCUUUAACCUUCCUUACCCAUGAAACGAAAGAAUUUCUUACACCCCGAUUUGGGGUGUAAGGAAGGGUAAGGGGAAUUUAAAAAACUUAUGUUCCAGUUUUAUCCCUGUUUUAUUAUAUUAAUUCUAAAAAUCAUUGUUUUAGGUAUCCUUUACGUCACAAUGAAAAACACUCGCAUCGCCCGACUCGCACCGCCCAACUCGCACCGCCCAACGCUUGCACUCCGUCGAUGCCGACACCGACUUUGACGCCAACUUCGAUGCUGGCACUGAUGUCGACAUCGACUUUAACAAAUGAGCUACAAUUGCUUGAAUACGUAAGUCUUAACUAAUAAAUGUAUGUAAGAUGCACUGGAUUUUUGAACGCGUAUGUCUUUAAUAAAAGUGGGGGUAAUUUUGUAACUUUAUAUAUUUAACCUUCAUUACCCUCAUUUUCCUCCCAAACAUGGUAACACAUGUUAUGUUAAUGAACCUUCCCUCCCUCCCAAACAAGGAGAAUAAAAAUACUUUACUUCCCUUCUCUUUCCCUCCAUUCCCCUCCCUGCCCCUUCCGUUAAUGAACCUUCGCUCACUCUUAGAGUACAUAACUCAAAACUUUUGGUUUUUCACCUUGCACUAACCGCCUUAGAAAACUAACUCUUCGUGCUACAGUGUCAGUACCUCUUAGGUUGAUUGUACUCUUCCCAGACUCUUGGGGCUUUUUCUGCAGCAACUCCAUUUGUUCCUUGUUGAAUGGAUUUGGCACAGAGGAUGUUUGAUUCUAUGUUGUGUUGUGAUUUCCUCUGCUGUCUCUAUCUUGCAAGGGACAUGAUGGUUUCCAGUCUAUUGGUUUGCCAUGAACCAUCUAACAGGCCUCCUUUAUGUGCUGAGGUAUACAGCAACGCUCACAGAAUCUAUGAUUGCUUUGUUGCUGAUUCUGCUGGAUUGUGGUCCAUGGGCUGCAAGAGCUGAGCUCUAAGUAUCAGUAUUGUGAGAAUUAUUCCUUACACUUUACUUUCCUACUUUUCUCCUUUCUUUGAACCUCUGCAAUGCAUUCUAAACAAUUGGAAGGAUUUAAUGCUCAAAAUUCCCCUCAAACCUCAUUUGUGUCCUUAUUUAAGCCAAGGAUAAAUUUAUAGAUGCUCUUUUGAUGAAUCUGUUGAUAUUGUCUGCUAUUAAUUGGGCAGUUCUACUUUGUUUCGAGAAUGUCCAGAUGCUGCCAGUCGCAAGCCAGCAUAUUGAAAUAGUCUGUUGUUGACAUCUCUUGUUGUCUAAUAUCACAGUAAUUCUUUUGAUCUUGAAAAUAGCUGAUGUUUCUUUGUUAGAAUGCCUCAGACAGCAUCCCAGAUUCCUUGGCUGUCUUGUAGUGCAUGCUCUCUCCAAUUACGUUUGUCAUGGAAUUUGACAAUCAGGACAUCAGCAUAAUGUUCUCCAAUUUCCAGAUUCUUUAACUGACUACCUUCUUCAGAUGCUCCUCCAUCGAGGGAAUCAUAUUGAAGCAAACUGGUAAUAUUGGAGAUGCAGAAAGAAUGUUCAUACAAGCAAGGUUCUUUGCGCCUGCAAAUGUUAAACCUAUUGUGGAUCGUUACUUGGCAAAGUGAGUUGCCAAUUUGGUGGAAGGUUAGCUUGACUAAUUUUUGUUGCUACUGGGGCGAACCUUUGCUAAUUGGAGAUGCCUGUCCUCUUCCUUGAUCUUAUGCUGCAAAUCUCUCCUUGUAAUGGUGUAAAUUAUGUACCUUUUGAGUGCUCAGUUUGUUGAUCUUAAGCUAUGUAAAUUGUGAUCUACCUUGAUGUAUUUAGUCUAUAGUACAUUUUCUCUAUGGAAUUUUUUUAGUUU